CUUCAAAUUUAUUUGCACCCUCUAUCAAAAUUUAAUCUUAUUUCCAGGAUUUGUUAUUUCGAAAUAGUUUAUUUGAAUGAGAGGUCAAAUUGCACCCAGUUUCCUCAAGAUAAAUUCUUCGAAUGAGAUGUCACGUUGCGCCUGAUGUCCUCACAUUUGUUUAGAAGGCUACUAAAUGAUGACCUUCAAUUUGAGUUCUGUUUCAACUCCAGGUGACAUGGUUACUCUUGCUCGUCUGGCAAAGGUAGGUGUAGUGGUGGUUAGUGAGGUGGGCCAUUCUCUUCAUGUGGAAGGAAUAUGCAGAGAAGACCACUUACGUUUUGUUGGCAUGAGGUUUUUAUGCGGAGGAUAUCAACAUUUUGCCGGUUUAUCUCAAGGAAAGCAUCCAAAUGAGUCGUUGCUCAUUCAAGAGCUUGUUAAGGGGUGCUAUCUCAAUCCCUUCCAAGUGAGUAUUUUCUCGCUAGAUUGAUUAAAGGUGGCUAUUUACAACCUUGGUGGCUGUAGGAGUGGGUAAACUCUCCCUAAGUUAUUUCUAAGUCGCUUUUACUGAAUCUGAACCCAAACAUAGGCAUUAAAUAUCCAGUAUGAUCAAAGGAGCUAGCAAGAUAGCUCAAGAUUCCUCUGCUGCCUUUGGUUUGAAUGAGUUGUACUUGUUUGAGUUUCAAUUUGUCUUUGGAUUUUGAAUAUCCAAUUGCUUCAA